AACAAAUCCAAUUGCCGUUCUGGUGGAAAUCAUAAAAGGCAAAGAUUGGAGUCAGGGCCAACAACAUUGGAAGGUGAAAAUGUUGCUGGGGACGACCUUGAAAAUGUUUCUGGUGGUAACCAUGAUCUUGAUCCGAGAGAACUUAAACAGCAAAAGGCAAGGGAAAGGUAUAUGAGGAUGUCAGAAGAGAAGAAAAUGAAGCUCAAUGCAAAGAAAAGAGAAAACUACCAUCGUAGAAAGGCUGAAACACAAGCAACCGAUAUGCUUCAUCAGUAAUUGCCGCAACAAACCAAACCCCACUCUCAGUUUUAUCCCAGGGUGUUGAGCUAGAUGAUGCCGGUGGAGAUUGGCUUCGUCGCAAUGAUACAUAUGCAGCAACAGCUAGAAGCAAACUCAAAUCCGUAACUGAUCACAUGCUAUUUGGUGAAACUGUAUUAUCAGCAACAAAUAUUAUAAUAAGGAAUCCUUGCAUGCUUUCAUUUGUUCUAUUGAGUCUUUAAUAUUAGUGAAUGUUACACUUGUUCAUUCCAGCUGGUGUUAAUAAGGAGGUGUCUAUAGACGAACUGCAGGAGGAGAAAGAGAAUCUAAAGUCAAGGAACAGAUAUUCUAGGAUGACAGAGGAUCAGAAGGCCGAGGGAAUGCAAAAUCCCGAGAAAUUUAACAUUGUAAGAAUGGCAACGAUCCUGCA